rfam:Myotis davidii contig109307, whole genome shotgun sequence.
GGCGGUUCUCGGGUGACACACCCCGGAAUCGGGCUCCCUCCUCUCUGGUUCUGGGUGCAUCACCCAAGAACCACA